rnacentral:lncRNA from 1 species
AAAUCUCAAAACUUGCUAAAAAUGUAGUAGGUAAGCAGAAAAUAUAUAUUUAGUGAUUUAAAAACAAAUUAAGUAUCUAAAACGCUCAUUUGAAGUGAAAAUCUGACCAUUUGAAUAUAAUAAAAAUAUUCAAUAAAAUAAACUAUUUUCUUCUAAAAUAAUUUUUAUAAAGCUAUCGGUAAAUAAUUUUUAUAGUGUAAAAGUUAAUUAUAUUCAUAUAUACUAUAAAGCAAUUAACCAAAGUAUAAAAUUGCUUUUACAGUGACACGUGGGCCCACAUAUAACCAAAAUGCAUUGGAAGCUGAAAACCUACAGCUUUUGCCGAUUCAAAUCCAAAUGAAGGUUUUUGUCAAAGUCAGCUAACUAUGAAAUUUCUUGAGCCUGAAAUGUGAGGAAAUGAGGGUGGUGAGAUUAUAAAAUCUCAGUGAGUAAAUAGAUACCAUCUAAACUAUCUAAAGGCGGGUAAAUGGAGACGAAUUAAAAUAAUUCUUUUCGAAUUUAUGUUUCAUAACAUGAAUAUUCAGUUUACUCAAUUAAUCAACAUGGCUUACAUAUCUCACAAAACUUGGCUCUUGCCAAAAUCAUUCCCGGGGAUGCCUUGGCCUAGGCAUCUGACCGAGACCACCAAGGCGGUUAAAUGUCUUUACAUCCGAAAUUCUAGCCAUGCCUUGGCGUUGGCUGAGUCUCACUCUCACAUGGUGGUCCACGUGAAGUGCACUCAAAUCUUUACCUCUAGAUAUACCCUUCACAAGGCUCUCCGAUCGAGGUAAGGUAUAUCUGAUUCUGUGCCCCCUCUCUUAGGCUAGUCCACAGAACCUCCACUGCAGGGAUUAUGCAUUAUUUUAUCUACCACCUGAUUUAUAAAAUCCUUAUCUGCAUGACAUGGUAAUUUAUCGCAAUCUAGCCUCUCAAGGCUGAAUACAUAAUAUAUAUAAUUUUGAUACAAAUACUGACUUUGUCAUUCAUGCUCACAUAUUGCUAUAAGCCAUAUAAUUUAAAACACAAUUUAUAACACAAGCAGGCAGUCUCCAAUUACUCUAUUUUCAAAACCAGUAUUCAAUUUUCUAGAAAAUUUAUAAAAUCAUUUUAUAAAAUCACAAUUUCUCCUAAAACAUAGCAAUUUACCAUUUAAACCCAUUUUCUAUAAAAUCACACAAUUGAAUAAAACUACUCUAGAUAAUUAAGAUGAUAAUAAGUUUACUCACAGUUCUAGGAGUCGAUAUACUCCUAAUCCCAGUCUUCAAGCAUAAUCUCUGUACUUUUACUAGUGUAAUUUGCUCACCACCUAUCCACAAUGUACAAUACAUAAUUCACCAAAUUAAUGCUUGACCAUUAUAAAAUCAAUUCAGGCAUGGUGCAAAUGCAUGAUAUGAUAUGCAACU